UCAGGAGGCGCUAAACAACAGUUCAAUUUAAGUUCGCGAGCGCGGAGCUUUUCAGAAAACACUCGCUCUCUCAAACACUAUACUAUCUCAAAUUCUCUCACGAAACUUUCACAAAACCCUCGCUCUCUCAACUCUCUCUCACAUCGAUGAAGCACAUCUCCCUCUCACCAUCCACCGAGUUUGCCGAGAUCGCCAUCUCCAUCGCGUCAUUCAGUCCAUCGAGCUCACCGCGUUCAGUCCACCGAACUCGCCUCGUUCGCCAAAAUUUAUUCUCUCCCUCUGAAAACGAACCAAGCUCAAGCACUAAUUUGAAGGGAAAAACUCCAACUUCAGCCCAGAAGAGUGGACAUGCAACUGGCGAUGAUUGGCAAUAGGAGCUUUAUCAAAAAAUUAAACUCAUGAAGGAGAUGUACUUGACUAAACUACAUGAAAUGCAUUAAAAAUAUUGCUACUAAACUUGAGAAGGUAUGUAAUCACUUCUUUUCUUUCCUCAUAUAAUUCGUUGUAUGACGGUAAAUUCGAGUAGUUUCUGUGAAUAAAACAACCAAAUGUUUGUUGUUUGGGAAUUGAAAGACAUGGAUUGAAACA